UACUGACGUAGUACAGUAAGAAUGUAGGACAAGUUCGAACUAGGAAUGGUGAUACAGAAUAUGGAGAGGAUGAAGAUAAGUUUAAAGCUGUAAGCCGUUAUACGCAAACUGACAUUGUCAGUGAUAACUCCAUACAUGUUACGUAAUAGACGAACGAAUCAUUAUUGAUGUGACAACAAUUUCCCUCCUCGUCACCACUCUGUUGUCAUAAGCAGUAAUGGAUUUCCACCAUUGUGCUCCGUGAAUUUCUUUUGAAAUAGAUACGUAAAUAUUUCUUCUUUUGAAUUCGAACUUAGAUUUUAAUUAGAGAUAUUUCUGAAUAUAAAUAUUCGAAAAAAUGGUUGCCUCUUGGUGCUUGCCACCCCAUCGCUGAACAUUGAAAUGUAUAAGGCAUUAAAAUCCAUGAUUAUUGACUUAUGCAUUUUGAACUCUGAAUCUGUAAACUGAUACAACGCACUACUUAAAUCAAAGAAUUCAGAAAGCUAAAAACUCGAAAACAUAUUCACAGAAAAUGUUUGCAAUGAAGGCACUUAGCAGCGUUGACGUUCAGGAAGAGUAUCGCAACAUAACUAACCUAUGUAGAAGAAUAACCAAUCUGCAAGAACAAGUUUUGUCAGUAGGCCCCGUUUCUGAUCACUCAAAAUGCCUAUUAAAUGGGGUGCUUGAACAGGCUAAACAAGAGCUUACUUCCACUACUUCUCAUAUUCUUCUUCUAAGAAGAGAGGCCGAUGAAUUGACCAAGCGUUCACUUGCCGCUCACCCAAAGCUGGAAGCUUUCAGUUUGGAAUGUGAAACCCUAAAGAAGCAAAUUACCGAACUUGAGCAAACUAAAAACUUUUUGAUUGCUUCGCAAUCCCAACUGAAAAACGACUUAAUGUCUGUCUAUCAAUCCAAGAACCAGCGAAUCGCAGAAUUAGAAGAAAAACUGGCGAAGAGCAGCGAAAGUAACCUGGCAUCAAAAGUGGUUGGAUACGAGCGGGAAUUAAGGACCAAACUCGAGGCAAGGGAAUCGGAAGAACAAAACUCGAAAGGGGAGAAAAUUCUCUCAUCGUCACCGGAAACCAAGUCAGAUUUACCCAAUCAGGAUCCGGUUACUGCAACUUUGCAAGCGAGUUCCUGGACGUCAGAAUCGGUUGAAAUAGCGGCUAAACGAACACGUGAUCCUGGGCCAAUUCCGGCACGCGAUUUCAUCGUCGUUUCAAAGGUAGAGCAAAUUGAACAAAUCAAUACGCUUGUAAUAACGAAUAUUCCCAACUGCGACUACGGCCGCGUGGUUGGUCGUGAAGGAAGAAACGUGGAACGUCUAAGAAAGAACUAUGGCGUUACAAUUAGCUUUGUCGACUCCCAUAAAGAUCUGAAGCUGUUCAUACUUGGAGCGAAUGCAGAAAAUCGCCGUGCAGCCGCUGAUGACAUCAUUAAAAAUUUGCCAUUGGUUGUUGAAUGUCCAAACUUAAGGUCACAAAUCAGCAAUCGAGAGAUCAAGCAGAUCAACCGUGACUGCCACGUACAAAUAAUUCUGCCAAACUUCGCUAAUAACAAUUACUUCACGAUUCGCGGAACAAUGGAUAACUGUCAGAUGGCUUAUCGACUACUUUCAAAUCACGCAAAACUUUGAAUGUAGCAGUCGUUGGGAACGAACCAUCCUGCCAGACUGGUGCAUCGUUGGCUGCACGUUCGGAGAUUUUCUGAUGGAUGACGGGGUGAAAAAUUCUCUGAGAAGCCAGUUUCCAAUUUGUUAGGUGAAAAUGGGAAUUUGAACAAAGAUGAACGUUUGGGUGGCGCUCUGACGAAUUCUGGAAACAUCGGUUUAUGGGAAGUAAACUUUCCUUUCUAGAAAUUGUUAUUACCGUGAGGAGCAACCGUCCCAAUUCAUGUAAAGAAAAAUGUUUCACUAGCGGUGCCUUAACGAGAUACAGCAUUGUCAUGAAUAGUACCAGCUGCGUAUAUUGGAAGCAGCGUUUGAAUUCUUCCGGCGAUAUCAUCCUGCAGCGAUUAUGAAAUGGAUGAUCUCGCCACAGAGAUUUGCGCUCUGCCUUAAUCCAGAAUUUCCCCAUGAACAAUUCAUGAAAUUUCUUCUUCUCAUUUUACGGAAAGCAAAUUUCGAAAAACUAGACGUUUUGAGUACUUCCGAAUGGAUUAUCCACCAGCAGCUUAAGAAAUGGAUGAUCUCCUCAAAGAUAACUCCGCUCUACAGAACAAGGACAGAAUCCAGUUGGCUAAUCCUUUAAUCUGUCGGCACAUUCUAAAAAGGGAUAAUCCUUUCUCUCAUGCACAUGGCUGACGGAAGUCUUUGAAAGGAUUUCCGUUCUUUCCAACAAAUGAGGAAGAAGACUGCACUGGAAUGUUUUUUUCCUCUUAUAAAAAGACCGAUUCCCUACGUCGAAUUCACCAUUCAGUCGUUGCUCUCUGCCACGCUCACAUCCCGCUACUUACGUUAAGAUUGUUCCCCAUUUGUUUCCAGUCCAAAAUUUUCGAAAUCAACUCGUCAACGCCAUUUUUACGACGAAGCUCAAUUAGCUGUUCUUAACGCAGAGUUUGCUAGAGAUUCGUUUCCCAGCCGAGAAUGUCGACUCCGUAUU